rnacentral:lncRNA from 1 species
CAAGUGGACAAGUUGGUGAAUUUGGUGAAGACUUAUAACAAUUAGUUACCAUAAUCAACAAAGCUCAUUACUUCACUUUUCACCUUUCUUUACACACAAAUAAGAAACUCUCUAAACAUUCAUCUUUUUAGCCAAGAACACCCACCAAAAACUUUCAUUUUGAAGCCUUUCUUUGAUGAUCAAGAUGGAACUUGAAGAUACAUAAGAUGAUCUAAGGAUACUACAAGAAGAAGCAAGCUUUUUCUUCCAUUCCAUAGCUUCCAAACAUCAAGAUCAACACUUUUUUCUUUUCUUUGAUCAUCAUAUAGAUCAUCCCUAGCCACAAGUGCUAGUAAUGAUAUUUAAAAACAUAAUCUAACAAGUGUACAUGAAAAUGAAAUUAGUGGACCAUGCGGGCAUUUCAGUCCAGGAAAGCAAGUAUCAAGACUCCAUGUCACCAUUUGAAGGGCUUGCCCAUUAUAUACCGCCUCUUUGCGGUGAUAUAGUGGUCAAAGCCUUGAGAUUUUAAGACGUACAUUUUGAUGUAUAAAACAAUGACAACUUAUUUUCAUUUGAUGGUUUGUAACCAAUACAUUUAACUUAUGUUGCGUUCUUUUGAAACGAUUAU